ensembl:lncRNA
UUUUUUAUUUUUUUUUUUUUCUGUUUAUGUAGUACAUAUAUGUUGCUUAAGAAUGAACAGUAUAGUUAUUUCAAUACGUCAGCUGUUAAAGGGUAAAAUGCUAAAAUCAGGUGCCAGCCCUGAAUCCUUGUCCCUGUUGAGUCCUGACCUGGCAGUUUGCCAUCCCCAGGGGAAGUCAGUGGGGAUUUUCCUGUGUAUAUUAGGAAUGGCAGGAAAUACACACAGAAGAGAAAUUGUCCAUCUGCUGCAAAUCUCUAUUAUGUUGUUCUGCUCAAUUUUACCUACAUAUCUUCAUCUCCAAAAGGAAGAGGAGGAAAAAAUACUACUGGAAUAGAGAACAGCUUUUCUACUUUAAACUCAGAAUUUGUACAAAACAUUGGGUGCUUUGUCCAUGAUUAAUGAAAUUUUAUGAGCAUUAACUACAAACAUUAGAACUUACAGAAUGCACAGAUGUUACUAUGAUAGACUUUGAAGAACCUUUCUAUGCAUUUUGUAUUGUCAUACUUUUUAAACUGUAUGCCCUUUCCCUGUUGCCCUUCUUGUUGUAUUUUUUCUUCUAAUGACAAAGCAGAUUCUAAUUAGAUUUGUAAAAAAAUUUACCCAACUACUGGUCUUUAUUGAGAACUAAUAGAGUAAAGAACUCACUGUUAAGAAAUAAAAAAAAAAAAAAUUAAGAGGGAUACGUGCAUGUAGUAAAGAGGUGUCAUGGAAUGACAGGAAAAGGGCAGCACCUUUAAAUUAAGAAAGGAAAAUGAUGUAAUAAUGAUUAAACCACAAAACAGAACUUCAACACAGUGAAUGAGCAAUGAAAAUAAGGUAAUAAAAAGGAGUACUGAACUAACUCAUGAGACAUGUUAUUACAGUGAACAUUAUGCUAGGACUGUUUAUUUUGCUUAGCAUUAUGGCCACCUUCAAGGUUGCUAUGACAAAUGUGUGAGCAUUUAAGGGAAAAUGAACAUUUUUUUUAAACUAAAAAGGCAUCUACUAGCUCUCUGCCUACUCAAUUUCCUAAAUUACGUGCCACAUAAAUUUAACUUCAUUAGCACUAAACAAAUGUUAAUGUUAACCACUUAUGGGUUAAAGCAAUUUUUGAAAUAUUCAUCAUGUUUCUCUGUUGACAUUCCUCAUUCCAUAAAUUGUAAUCCAUGCAGUUUUGCUUUACUCAAAAUGUAAGGCACAAUAACAGCACCUAAGUAAUAAGUUCUACUAGCUAAAGGGUUGAUCUAGUUUAAAAAUGAAUAUAUAUGGCUUCUACUAGAAUUAAGGGAUAAUAAAGUUUCGUAACUGGCCUUUCAAUUACUUUUUUCUCCCUGGCACUGAAAGAGUCUUAUUCAUGUGUGACUAAGUGACAUAAAAUUUAUGCAAGGUUCUUACAGCAGAGGGAGUAAGGGAGGAAAAGCACAACAGGGUUUCUCCAUGCAACUUACAAAAACAUUAUCAAUGUGGUUCAUUCAUUGAGCAGUGACAAACUCAGAGUCCUGCUACCAGCUGGAAUAGAGGUACUGAACCAAACAAAGAAGGAAAGUGAAAUUUGGACAACCACAGUCUGAAAGUGAGCUAAAACCAGAGCACAAUAAGGUCAUUGGAACCCAACGCACAGGAGGGUUGCACAUGUACAAGGCUGUUCUCCAGGUUGUAAUCCAACUUCUAAAGAUUAAGAUUAACUUCUAAAGAUUGGGAGUUUGGGAUGUUUCAUGGCAUAGGAAGCAGGUAAUGGGUUCCCACCUGGCCUGUCAGGAUGUGUAAGGGGAGUGGUAGAAAGCUAGAUUAUUAGCCUUGCAGCAUUUGAAGCUGUGCAGGUAGUGCUUAUUAAUGUAUUUACACAAUGAAAAUACUAAAUGGUGAAUAGAGUCACAAUAGAUACUCUGAGAAAAGAAGCAAAGAUUAUGUAAAAAGAAGAAUAUAAUAUCAGGGAGCCAAACUAAUCACAUUUUAGCAUUUCAAAAGCAAUAGAUUAAUUUCUCCUGCUGGGACCUCAAGCUGAAGGUACAUUGCCCUCUAACCUGACAACUAAAGAUAUUAUGUGUGAUAAUAUUGACGGAAACCUUGUUCUAUGCUCUUGGUUUCCUGAAACAUUUUUUAGGAGUAGCUUUUCAGGCAAGUUUUUUUUCUAUUUGCUCCUGGGGGAUGAUUAUAAAGAAACUAUCAUGGUUUGUACGUUUUAACACAAGGUUUGCAAUUUCAUCAUAGAGGUGAAUGGUGAUGAGAUGAGGUGCAACUCUGUCACUGCCAGAUUAACAAAAAGCAUCAGGAGGCUUCAAGUCACAGCACAGGAACCUCUAAGACUACAAGUGCUACUGAUCAUAUUCAUGCCUGAUGUUUGCUGUUGAAGAUUCAGGCUUAUAACAGAUCUCCUAAAGAACUGUCCAUGACACUGUCAAAAGAACUCUACAGCAGCAGAAGUGCAUACAGAUGAGGCACUUCUACAAAUGUUCCCAAAGCUAAUGCUCUUCUAAAGCUACAGCCAGCAAGCAGCAUAAAAACCUAAACUUGCUUCUCAGGGAACAAUGUAUGUAAGCAAACAAGUGACUGAGAACAAGAGAGAAAAAACCACAAAACAACCCAAAACACUUUUCUAGGAUUCAUUUGCUGGUGGGAGAGAAGCAGAAUCUUCUGGCUAUGGAGAUUUUGCUUAAGAUACCACAAUUUGCUUCAGCAUCAGGCAGGGUAUAUUUGCCAUUCCUUGGGAAAUGCUGUGGUUCACUAAGCUCUGCUCAGCUGAAAAGAAACUUUUCAUGCCAUGCCUCUGCAGAGUGCUGCAUGUGAUAUUUAUGUUGGUAGAAGAGCUGAAAUGACUGUGUUUGAAUUAAACAGAUGAGCAGAACUAAUGCAGGGGUUGAGCAAGGCUGAACACCAAGCUACUAAGGUAAACCCCAGCUCAGCUUUCUCAUUCUGGUCAGUUUCUGCUUGAAAACAUUGAAAUGAAUUUAUACAGAUUACAUGUAGCAUCAGCCAUCAAUAACUCAUCUGGAGCUAUUUCACCUGAAGAGGACUGUCAAUAAACCACUGUAAGACAUUGUUUACAUGUUAUCUAGCUGACUGAUUAACUGCUGCUCGCUCACUGACAUACGUACUGGAUGGACAUAAAAGGUUUCAGCAAGUUCAAGCUUUUGGAUAAAACCAAGACUGUGCACUCAGCAAUCCUUGGCAUUCACCACAUUGUAUGAGCCCAGUUAUGAUUUUAAGCAAUUUUAUAUCCUGAAUGCCUGAAAUCAAUGAUCACUGUAAGUUCCUAUAUUCAAACAUAUAAUUGACUUGGAGAAUACUACAGAAAAAAACCAAAUUAGAGAAAGAUCUUUGCUUCAGUUCUGAUUUGGCAUCACAAAUUACUGUCAGCUGUGAUUUAACAGUCAGUAUCAAAAGACAAAGGUAAGUUUUCAGGUAUUGUGCUGAUUGACAUGAUGACAUGACAGGCUUUUGAAUAACUCUGCAUAACAUAGCUAGACUAUGCCUACUGACACUAAGCUGCACCUGUUGAUACCUACCCCUUUACUAGCUUUCUCCACUUUUUAAGAACUCAAGGUAAGAGUGAACUGACAAUCAUUCAAGAUCUUCUUUAAAACUGUCGCUGCAGAUGUGUUACUGACAAGCUACUUACUGUCCAAAAAAGGAAGAAAAGAACUCACUGAAAAUUCGAUUAGUGUGUUGUUACCGGUUACAUUUCAGGAGUUGUGUGAAGUGACUAUCCAAGCAUGUCAAUAGGUGGUGAGAGUACUGCAAGUAGAAUUGAUCUUCAAAGUCAGAGAUAUAAUUAAGCAUUUACUGCAUCAUGUAGUGGAAAUAGGGAAGAAAAGACCAUUGCAAGGCGACUGCAACUGAUGAGGUGCCAUCCAUGUAAAUAUGUAACCUGAAAUUCCUCUUGGGCUGCAUCACAGAUGUCAAAGUUCCACCAAGUCCCGGCAGUGUGUUCACCAAAUGCUUUGACAGCCAAGAUUUUCAUCUCAAGUGAUGUUGUGAUAGUAUGUCAGUUGCUGUGUUUUUGCAGACAUGAGUCAUUAAUGAUGUCAGCCUUUCCUAAAUGACCUUUGCAACACGUGGGAGCAGUUCCAUUUAAAUGUUCUUACAUCCAGUUGCCACACACACAGUUUUAGACUGGGCAUGCUUGAAGAUCUUUUCUGCAGUACAAUCAUUCAUUACACAAGGUGAGAUUUUUUCACCUACCCAAAAUUUUUAGAAGGCAAACAAUCCCAGAAGAGGUCCACAGACAUAGCAGGACUAGUUUGUUCAUUUACAAAUCUGUAUCACUUUAAUGUCUUCUUGCAAAGGACAGUUCUUUAGCCAACAACCUGAUAAGGAAGCCUACAUUUGAGGAUAAACAACCUAUCACUGAGUUAGUACAUGCUACUUACCAAUCAAGGAGCAAGCCCAGGUGGUGUUCUGUCCAUGUCUACAAAAAGACUCCACUGUAUAACCUUAUUAUUGCCUGCUUUAUGAAGAGGAAGGCUUCUAUAUCUUCCUCAGGAGAUUAAAAGUAGAUUCCCAAGUGCAAGCCCUCAGGAAAAGAGUGAAAAAAUGUCUAACUCAAGGGAGCAAAGACUUGAAAUAAGCUUUCCCAGUGCAGGCAGCUUUGCACUCCAGAUGUAACUGAAGCCUAUCCCCAAGGGUAUGGUUAAAGGUAACUUCUGUCUUAUACUUCAGCAGAUGUAUAGCCAAUUGGGAAUACCUGCACUGGGCAAAGCACGUUGUAAAGGUUAGUUUGGAAGAAACUAUUCUAUGUCAUCUAGAAAAUCUAGAAGUCAAUGGGUUGAGCAUUUUCUAAAUUACUCCAAGUAAUUAGCAACUGUCCUAACAAACUGUUACAAUACAGAUCUGCUAAUGUUCUCACCCUACUUUUCCCUCUAAAUGUAAAUGUUUAUGUUAAAGAAAUUCAGAGGGAAUGGAGCAAACUGCUGCAGUGAAGGAGUUUCAGUAGAUACAUCUGGGCCAUGCAUUCAGGGUGUGAAGUCAAAGUGAGUCUUACAGCUCUGGUACCUUACACUCCUAACUCUGGUGCCAAAGGUAUAUUACUGCAAGUUUGAGGAGUGAUAGCAUGGAAAAGUACAACCAACAUAACCACUCCCACCCUCCCUUAGCUUACCUCCCAACUUAUGGGAGGAGUAGGGGAUUUUUCAUUUGAUCAUGGGGCAAAAUCGUUCUACUUUCCUUACACUACUGUAAAGCACAUUUACCAAGAAAUCCACAUUCACAGCAGCAUUUACCAAGAAAUUAUACUUAGAAUUAAUAAACAUUGGAGGAAAAUACUCUCAGUAGUGAGAACUGUCACCAUACUCGUGAAUGUGAGCCUGUUCAGAUGUAUUAGGCUGAACAAAUGAGGACUGAAGGGAAAGCAAAGAUGUGACUGGACUAAGGGAAAGAGAAACCUUAGGCAAUAAUUGAGCAUUUUUGGAGACACUGGUAGAUUAAUGGAGAGAAAAGCUACAGUGAGCAUGAAGUCAUCAAGGAUAGCGCAGGAAGGACUUGAGUCAUGAUCAGCGUGUUAUUGAGUAAGCUGAUGAGCCAGACUUACCAUCUCACUGCUGGCUGGAGGUAAACUAGCAGGAAUCCAUUGGCAACAGGACACCCAACAACCAAACAAUGCAGUUCAGGUACUUUUGAAUUUUCCAGAAACACAAAAAGGGACAAAGAUUUUAGAAUAUUUCAUUUUUCUAAACUUCAUAAAAGAGAAACAGGACUAAGAAAUGUGAACUGGCAAUUAUAUAGUUAACAUCUAUUCUAGUAACCACUUGAGAAAAAGGUCUGACUAAAACCGGGAUGAAUAUUUGUAUGCUUUACAUACUUACUUGUGUGCACUACUUCGAUUUUUUAGUAGUGGCAUGAAAUGGAAUGACUCAGUCUUUUUAAGUCCCCACCCAUCCUCUGGCUCUGGCUACUAAGAUCAGUUUAAAUUUUGUAGUAGAAACAGGGUCCCAGAUUCACUGACUAGCUGCCAGCUCUGCCUGUACUCACCCACGUCCAGUGUCACCCCGCUGCUGAUGCUUCAGCCUGAGCAGAUGUGUGUGCCUUCUAAAUAUACUGUGCACAGGCAUUUUUACCUAGCUUGGCCCAGGCCCCAGAUUCCAGCCAGGCUUCAGAGAUGCUCCUAAGAUAGAUCAGUAAUCUGGAAAAGGUUUGGAGGUCCUGAAUUUUUUUUUUAAACUAAAGUGUUUUGAAGUUAGCAACUCUGUGAAAACAUUUUUGUGCCAAAAGAGCAUGUGAAGCAGCUGUUCAGUAUUUAUGCAAACACCUGUGAAUAUUUUUAAACUUACUAACACUUAGCUUUCCCCCUCACCUCAAUACCAUGCUAAUACCUAUUAUUUAUAUUGAAAAGCCUCUGUUCAUUAAAUAUAUUCAUAUUUUAAUAAUUCUGACAAUGAAAAACAUUGAGUUAUAAUGAUGACAUGACUAAAAUGACAAUUCUUUGAUCGUAACUUGAAAUAUUCAAGCAUUUAUGGUAGGAUUUGCCUCAAAAUUGGAGAUCAGAUUUAGCAGGCACAAAAUCACAUCACUUAUUCUGAAACUAUCUUGCUUCUUCAAAAUUCGUAAUUUUCUUGAAAAACCACAGAAUUGCUGAUGCAGUAAGUGAAUUUUGGAGAUCACCAAGUCCAACCUCAAAUGCCCAAAGCAGGGUCAGCUUGAGCAGAUUAGUCAGGGAUCUGCCUCGGUGAAUUCUGAAUGUCUCAGAGAAUGGAGACUCAUCACUUCUUUGAUCAAUGAGCUCCAAAUGCACUAAAGUCUUCAGAACUAUGACUUUAGAAAUAUAAGUUUACUAAUGUAGCUAACUCAGAGAUAUCUGUGCAAGUCUGCCACAAACUAGAGUUAAUCAGAAGUCUGGAUAGCACCGCUAUUUAGAACAGCAUUGUUAAUUGAAACGUCUGGACAGUAGUCAGCCUUCAAUACCAGUCUAUUCAUCUGCAUAAGACAUGCACAUGUACAAAGAGGAGUGUUCUGAACUAGAACUUGGCAGAUUUCUGAAACACUUUCUGUUAUGGAAGAGCCAGGACCUUGACUGUAUCAGACUUUACUUAUUAAUUCAGAUACACAAAAAGGCUCAGAGGCGCUGGGGAAGUCAGAAACUACAUAGCUGUAUUCAGAAUGUUUAAAAUUGCUUGUGAAUGCUGCAUCACUUGUCAACACAUCCUGAAGAGAUUAAUUUUGUGAGCAGGACCCAGAUUAUGAUCCCUUUCUCCCCCUCUCUAAUCCCAUGAUUCCACAGAGGUAAUUUAACCUCUGUCCCACAGUGUACCUCUUCGCCCUGCAGGGAUCACCAUUCUCACUUCUUAUGCCUCCACCAAUUUCCAGGCUUCCAAGAACUAAUAGAAGACCACUAAGACCAAGGAAGCAGGAAAAGUCAUUCACCCUUCUUGUGAGAGAAGUAGCCCUGAAAGAAAAAGAGUUCUCUCCUUUAUAAGCAGCAUUUUUAACACUUAGCUGUAGAGUCAAGAAAAACAAGAACAGUGGAUCCUGCACAGCUGGUGACUCAAGUGUCUCUUGUACUCUUGAAGGCCAACAGUGACAACCUUCCCAAAUGAAUUUGUUCCACCUUGUUGGUUUCAACAUAGCUCCAACAACUGUUAGAAUUAUUUAAUUCUAUUACCAAUGUGAUUGUUAGGGCAAGAGAGCAAACCAACGGUUGUUUAGCACUUCAGUGUUUUAGUUUUUCUUCUCCCCUUGAAAAGAGUCUCCCAAUGUUUUGCAGAAUCCAGCCCAUAGCCCAUCUUGUAAACACGUAAAUGCAAAUAGGUAAGAGACAAAAGAAAACUUAGGUUAAACCAUAUCAGACUUGGAAAACAGUUCUUUGGAUUGGUCACUCUGAAUGCUCACCUAAUGGAGACAACUUCUCAGCGUUAUUAUAUUCAAGAGCAAUGCAGUAUUUCAAACUCUUUUGAGGCUUGCAAUACAACUUAUAAAUACUAUUUAUAACGGGCAUUUAGUAAUUAGCAGCUAUCAUCAUCAGAUGCACACACAAAUUAUAAAAAUUCUAUAUACUGGCAGAGAAAGCUGAAGACAACUUCAGAACACACUGAAAGAAAAAGGGAACAAGUUAUGGAGAAAAGACAGGAAAGGUCAAGUCACUGUAACACUUCCCUCACAGGCAAUAUAAGCAACAACAGAAAAGCACCUAAGCACAUUGUCAGGUACAAAGAGACAGCCAGCUCCAGCAAAGGGCACUGAUAACUGCUGACAGCAGCAAUAUAUUUGCAUGACCCCUUUCUACUUCAGAAACAAUAUUUUCAUAUUUUCAGUUUGAAAGAAAUAGUUCGCUACACCACUUGCUGUUUACAUGGGAUACAAAAUGGUAAGUUACUUACACAAAGAGCUAGGAGGUGUCAGGUGUAAAAGAUUUGUAUCCUACAAAUGUAGUACUGGAAGGAGAGAGCCCACACAGGAAUGGUUUGGCAGGUUGCCAUUUUGGAGUAAGGAAUAUUAGCCCAUAACUCAAAGCCAGUUUUACAUGCAACAGUAAAUUUAAUCAUCUUAACAGGCUUUCUUAUAGCUACUUUCAGCACUGACCACAGAAACAGAUUUGAUUGAUCAGUACUGGGUCUGCAUUGAGAAGGGUGUGUUCUCUUUCAAACAGCUAUUAUUUGGUCAGCUUACUUACCCUAAUUCAUAUUACUCAAAAUCAGAAUGAAGAAGACGUUUUAGUUGGUGGUUUAAAAAAUAAAAUAGCAGCAAAUGCUAAACAUCAAGUAAUUGUUCCUGUGCAUUACCUUGAACUGAUACAGAUAAUUGCAUAUUGCUAAAAACAUUGUAUUUAAUUUGGUGGAUACUGAGAUGUGCUUGGAGUCUGCCAAACCACCACUCAGCUGAAAUCACAAUUAAUAUGAGAAGCUUAUUCUGUCAAAGACAUUAUAUUCUCAAAUAUUCCCAAACCCCUCAAUUCAGGGCAUGGAUAUCUAGAGAUACAAGUUUCUUGAAGAACUGACUUAUCUCUUUCCUUUUUCUUCUAGAUAAAACCAAACAUUGUUAGUGAUUCACAGUACAUAUUAUUCAAAGUCCAAAUAAGUCAGGUCCAAUCUCAAAUGAAAGGUAUAAAAUGUGGAUUAUUGUUUAUCGUGAUUCAUUUAAUUGUUAUGUCUAUUUCCAAACUUAAAAAUUACAGCUCAGUGUUCUCAAAUUAUGGAAUUGAUGAUACAAUACUACAGAUUGAAGUAUUUCUGUUCUGGCACAGGAUCCCAUAGUGAUCCAUAACAGUAAGCCAAAAGGUUCAGGAAACAGUGGUACAAAAGGCUGAGUAUUAAUUGCUAAAUUACUUUGGAUAUUUUUGUAAAUUCUUUUUAGAAACUGGCCACCAGCUCUGUGAACUCCAGCAACUGAGUUUGACUCAGCUGAAAAAAAAAAAAAAAAAAAAA